AUGGACAUGGAGAAGAAAGGAGGUAGAAACUACCUUACCUGGACGGAUGAAAUGGAUGAAGCAAUGCUGAAUGUGUUCGUGGAGCAUUACAAUAGAGGGGAUCAUGCUCAAAAUGGGUGGAAACCACAUGUUUACAGUGCAGUUGUCAACAAUGUUCGAGCCAAGUGCAAUGUGGAUAUUACAAAGGAGAAUGUCAUAUCAGGCAAGAUGUUGUCAACGAGUGGUUUUGGGUGGGAUUGGAUCCAUAACAAUCUUAUGGUUGAUAGUGAGGACGUGUGGAGCAACUAUGUCAAGGAAAACAAAGAUGCCGCUUGCUAUAGGCACAAGGUCAUAAAGUUUUGGGACUAAAUCAGCCUUGUCUUGUCAAAGGAUCACGCCACCAGAACCGGAGCCAGAACCGCCACUGAAAGUGCAGCGGAAAUGGCUGCGGAGAAUGUCAACAACAUCAACAUUGAGUCUGCCGCAACAUCUUCAACCCAAACCAACGAGGAACAGAAGAGGAAAAGAUAUCGAUCGGAUGACUCAAUUGCAUCUAUGCUUGGAGAGAAACUGGAUAAUUUUACUAGUGCCUACAAAGCUGAUAUCGCUCAAGCUGCUCCUCCCGAGAAACCCUCCUCUCCUGAAGAAAUCUUGAUGCUCAAUGCAAUUUCGGGACCAGAUGAUGAUGGUUUGCUAGCAGCUUAUGAUAUCCUCAUAGCAGAUGACCGCAAGUUCAAGGCUCUUAUGGUGCUGCCUGAAAGGAUGAAGAAGAAAUGGAUCCUCAAGCAAAUAAACAAAUGA
rnacentral:rRNA from 1 species